AUGCCGGCGAGCUCACCAUCGAGCAGCAGCCACCGCGCCGCCCUCCUGCUUUGCCUUCUUCCCGUCCUUCCCUCCUCCUCUCUCACCUCUCUCUGCCUCGCCUACACAGCGGCACAGGAACGUCGGCGGCACGCGGAACGAGGCUGCCCCAACUGGAUCCACGUCCUCCUCCAUCGCCUGCUCUCUCGCCGUCCGUCCUCGCCUCGAAUCGGUCGUGCCGGCAGCCGUUGUUGCCAGAUCCUACCUUGGCCGCCCGCUGAAAGAUACAGCGUCCUCAUGUGUCUCACCGUCAAGGGAGGCAGGAACGACGGAGCCGUGUAUGUGUCAGCGCACAUGUGGUGCGUGCGGAGCGGCUGCAGGCCUGCAGCACGCCCUACCUCAAACAGUACGCAUGGGUGGUGGUUGAGACGUCAGAGGAGCUUCAGCAGGAGGUGA
rnacentral:rRNA from 1 species